rnacentral:rRNA from 1 species
UACAGAGGGUGCAAGCGUUAAUCGGACUUAUUGGGCGUAAAGGGCGCGUAGGCGGUUAGUUAAGUGGGAUGUGAAAUACCUGGGCUCAACCUGGGCUGUGCAUUCCAGACUGUCUGGCUAGAAUCUAGCAGAGGGAAGUGGAAUUUCCGGUGUAGCGGUGAAAUGCGUAGAUAUCGGAAGGAACGCCGGUGGCGAAAGCGACGGACUGGAUCUCUUCUGACGCUGAGGCGCGAAAGCCAGGGGAGCAAACGGG